rnacentral:rRNA from 1 species
GACGGGACCCGCACAGGCGGUGGAUGAUGUGGUUUAAUUCGAUGCAACGCGAAAACCUUACCCACCUUUGACAUGUACGGAACCCUUUAGAGAUAGAGGGGUGCUCGAAAGAGAGCCGUAACACAGGUGCUGCAUGGCUGUCGUCAGCUCGUGUCGUGAGAUGUUGGGUUAAGUCCCGCAACGAGCGCAACCCUUGUCAUUAGUUGCUACAUUCAGUUGGGCACUCUAAUGAGACUGCCGGUGACAAGCCGGAGGAAGGUGGGGAUGACGUCAAGUCCUCAUGGCCCUUAUAGGUGGGGCUACACACGUCAUACAAUGGCUGGUACAAAGGGUUGCCAACCCGCGAGGGGGAGCUAAUCCCAUAAAGCCAGUCGUAGUCCGGAUCGUAGUCUGCAACUCGACUACGUGAAGUCGGAAUCGCUAGUAAUCGUGGAUCAGAAUGUCACGGUGAAUACGUUCCCGGGCCUU